GGCUGAAGUGGGAGGAUCCACCAGGAGGCGGAGGUUGCAGUGAGCUCAUAUCACACCACCACACUCCAGCCUGGGCGACAGAGUGUUACACUAUCUUAAAACAAACAAAAAAAGGAAGAUAGAGAUGAUGAGAAAAAGUCCAAGAUUGAAGAAGAUAUGGGUUCAGAUGAAGAGGAUGACAAUGGUAAGGAUAAGGAAAAGAAAACCAACAAGAUCAAGGAGAAAUCAUUGAUUGGGAAGAACUAAACAAGAUCAAGAACAUUUGGAUCAGAAACUCUGAUGACAUUCACCCAGGAGGAGUAUAGAGAAUUCUACAAGAGCUUCACCAGUGACUAGGAAGACCAUCUGGCAGUCAAGCACUUCUCUGUAGAAGGUCAGUACUCCUGCAUUUGUACCAACGAAAACUCACGUGCUGCUUCAUCGAAUGAGUGGAAAAGGACUAGCUGCCCAUUAUUUCUUUCCAAGACAGCCUUGCAUUUUUGGUGAUAAGAUGGUCUCUAUACAAAUAACACUGAAUAACACUACUGAUCGAAAGAUAGAAAAUAUCCACAUAGGGGAAAAAAAACUUCCUAUAGGCAUGAAAAUGCAUGUUUUUAAUCCAAUAGACUCUCUUGAGCCUGAGGGAUCCAUUACAGUUUCAAUGGGUAUUGACUUUUGUGAUUCUACUCAGACUGCCAGUUUCCAGUUGUGUACCAAGGAUGAUUGCUUCAGUGUUAAUAUUCAGCCACCUGUUGGAGAACUGCUUUUACCUGUGGCCAUGUCAGAGAAAGAU
rnacentral:sRNA from 1 species